AGAGUUUGAUCCUGGCUCAGAAUCAACGCUGGCGGCGUGCCUAACACAUGCAAGUCGAGCGAGAAAAGGGUAGCAAUAUCCUGAGUAAAGCGGCGCACGGGUGAGUAACACGUGGGUAAUCUGCCCUGGAGUGGGGAAUAACACCGGGAAACCGGUGCUAAUACCGCAUACGAUCGCGAUGUCUGCGGACGUUGUGAUGAAAGGAGCAAUUCGCUCCAGGAGGAGCCCGCGGCUGAUUAGCUAGUUGGUGAGGUAAUGGCUCACCAAGGCUACGAUCAGUAUCCGGUCUGAGAGGACGGUCGGACACACUGGAACUGAGACACGGUCCAGACUCCUACGGGAGGCAGCAGUGGGGAAUUUUUGGCAAUGGGGGCAACCCUGACCAAGCAACGCCGCGUGGGUGAUGAAGUCUCUUGGGACGUAAAACCCUUUCGACGGGGAAGAAACCGCAAGGUUGACGGUACCCGUAGAAGAAGCCCCGGCUAACUCCGUGCCAGCAGCCGCGGUAAUACGGGGGGGGCAAGCGUUGUUCGGAAUUACUGGGCGUAAAGGGUGCGUAGGCGGUGCUCUAAGUCGGAUGUGAAAACUCUGGGCUCAACCCAGAGCCUGCAUCCGAAACUGGAGUGCUAGAGUUCUGGAGGGGGUAGCGGAAUUCCUGGUGUAGCGGUGAAAUGCGUAGAUAUCAGGAGGAACACCGGUGGCGAAGGCGGCUACCUGGACAGAAACUGACGCUGAGGCACGAAAGCUAGGGGAGCAAACAGGAUUAGAAACCCUAGUAGUCC
rnacentral:rRNA from 1 species